GCCUGGAUAGCUCAGUUGGUUAGAGCGUGGUGCUAAUGAUGCCAAGGUUGGCAGCUUUGAUCCCCAUAUGGGGUA
rnacentral:tRNA from 1 species